rnacentral:rRNA from 1 species
GUGUCAGCCGCCGCGGUAAUACGUAGGGUGCGAGCGUUAAUCGGAAUUACUGGGCGUAAAGCGUGCGCAGGCGGCGGCUCAAGUCAGGUGUGAAAUCCCCGGGCUUAACCUGGGAAUUGCGCUUGAAACUAGGCUGCUUGAGUGUGGCAGAGGGGGGUGGAAUUCCACGUGUAGCAGUGAAAUGCGUAGAGAUGUGGAGGAACACCGAUGGCGAAGGCAGCCCCCUGGGUCAACACUGACGCUCAGGCACGAAAGCGUGGGGAGCAAACAGGAUUAGAUACCCCCGUAGUCC